ACUUAGUGGCGGUUGGGUGAGUAACGCGUGGAUAACCUGCCUUACACUGGGGGAUAACACUUAGAAAUAGGUGCUAAUACCGCAUAAGCGCACAGAGCCGCAUGGCUCAGUGUGAAAAACUCCGGUGGUGUAAGAUGGAUCCGCGUCUGAUUAGCUAGUUGGCGGGGUAGAAGCCCACCAAGGCGACGAUCAGUAGCCGGCCUGAGAGGGUGAACGGCCACAUUGGGACUGAGACACGGCCCAAACUCCUACGGGAGGCAGCAGUGGGGAAUAUUGCACAAUGGGGGAAACCCUGAUGCAGCAACGCCGCGUGAGUGAAGAAGUCAUUCGUGAUGUAAAGCUCUAUCAGCAGGGAAGAAAAUGACGGUACCUGAGUAAGAAGCCCCGGCUAACUACGUGCCAGCAGCCGCGGUAAUACGUAGGGGGCAAGCGUUAUCCGGAUUUACUGGGUGUAAAGGGAGCGUAGACGGCCAGACAAGUCUGAAGUGAAAAUCCAGCGCUUAACGUUGGAAGUGCUUUGGAAACUGCCGGGCUAGAGUGCAGGAGGGGCAGGCGGAAUUCCUAGUGUAGCGGUGAAAUGCGUAGAUAUUAGGAGGAACACCAGUGGCGAAGGCGGCCUGCUGGACUGCAACUGACGUUGAGGCUCGAAGGCGUGGGGAGNCAACAGGAUUAGAUACCCUGGUAGUCCACGCGGUAAACGAUGAUUACUAGGUNUCGGGGGGCUAGAGCCCUCCGGUGCCGUCGCAAACGC
rnacentral:rRNA from 1 species